rnacentral:lncRNA from 1 species
GACCUCCAAAGUUUCCCCUGUCCAAUACAGAUCUAUAUAUACAGAUGGAAGUUCUUUUAUGGAACAAGGGGAACACAAAGCUGGAUAUGCUAUGGUAAAUUUUUAAUCACCGUGCUUAGGGUAUUAACCACAGUAGGGUGCUACAUCAUCCCCUGCCUACAUGGUCUCAUUCAGAGAUUAAUCAAAACCUCACUCACUAAACAACUCCUCUCUCAUACCAAUAUCAAAAUUUCUUCCUUUCAGACACAAAGGAACCUCACAUGGACAUCUAUUGCGGACCCCUGGACCAGCCACCAAGGGACCAUCACUGCUGCUUCUCAAUGCCCCUUAACAUCAGGAAGCAGUUACUGAGAGGUUGUUCCAGAUGACUUCUACCAUGAACCUCUUGAUCAACCUGAUCGUCCCUAAGGGAAAUCUGAAUUGCUGACCCCUCGUUGCUCCUCUCUGCUUGAAGCAGCUGUCAUCACCCAGUUUUUCUUACUGCUGCAAGGACCUUAUUAGAGGGGGUAUUGAGAUAGAAAAGGAUGGGCAGUGAAGAAUGGGGAAGGGAGAGUGAAGGUCAACAAGAGGGCAAACAGAACAGCCUUUCUAACAUGCUCAGACAAGUUGCAAAACAGUUCCUGUUUCUCAGAAAGGGCAUAAGUUUCCAUCACUCAGAGAGUGACUGCAUCAUCCAGCCUGUGUCCACCUUGGGACAACUGAAAUAUCAAGAACCAAUCAAGAGGAGCUUAUCAACUUCUCCUUACAUGCCUUUAAAAGAGGGAACACUGUAAGAUCUAAACAGCACUCUUGCCCCUCCCAGGAGCACUGCCCAGGGAGUUCUGAGUCUUUUACUUUGCUUUUAAAUAAAAUUCCUGCAUGCUUGCUUAUGUGGGCAUUGAAGG